rnacentral:lncRNA from 1 species
UUUAAAAAAUUAUUUCAAACAAAAAAUAUAUGACAUAUUCUUUUGGGAGAUUAUUUUUUUUUUAUCAGACAAAUAAAAACAACUUUUUUUUUUCAAAAUAAGAAUAGGAUAUAUUCUUUUGGCGAACAUCGAGUCCCACCACAUUUAUUGAUUUUGAAAGGGUCACCUUUCAAGUCCACAGAAUAGCUUGAUUUUUAAUGCGAAGGAAGACAAUUAGGCAACUCUUUUGUUCAUUUUCUUAAUUAUUACGUGAAUAUAAAACAAAAACGGUACCAUAAAUUUUCAUUGAUAGUUUGGUACCCAGUUUAAUCUGCAUGCAAACGUCAUGUCUCAUCACACAGGCUUUAUCAGGUCGGAGAUUUACUCCCUGGACUGGGAGAAAAACUCAGAUGAGACAGGUGUAUUAUGUCAGCAUAUUGAGGUGGAACCCAGAAAAAAUUUAUUUUAAAUUUAUGCAAUCCGGAAUAGACAUUACUCUCAUUAUUGCAUAUUUGCAUGUUUGCUUCUUGGUUCUUUCGUUGUCACAUGAAUAUGAUUUGAUCACCAAUUUAAAUUAGCCAGCUCAAAUACAUCUUUCUGUAUGUAAAGAUCCAUCGUUUUCGGAAGCUUGCUUUUAAAUUUGCACACGUAUUCAUUAUCUCAUGUGAUAGCUACAUCUGAACGAUAAAAUUUGAAAUGCAGGCCAUGAUUGGAAGUAAGGAUCAUAGGGUAGGAAUGGAUUAAUUUUUAGAAUGAAAUAAAUUAAUCUAGUGUUGAAUAUGUUUGACUGUUAAAUUAGUUGAUUACUCCAAAAAAAUAGUGAGACUAAUAAUCCUCAUUUCAGUUUGAGUUUAGGUUGGAUAAAAUUGUUUUUAAAUUGAAUAUAAAAAAAAUAAUUUUGUAAUAUAUUUAAACUAUAAUUUUAUAUAACAUUAAAUAUCAAAGAUUUAAUUCAAAAUUUAUUUACGUUAGUGUACAUAAAUAUUAAAUUCAACAAUUAGUAGUGUUAUUUAAAAUAAUUAUAAAAUUGAAAUGGUUAUUUAUCUGUAUUACAUUAUAUUUAUAAACAUGGUCAUUUGCCACAUUGUACCAAACAAAAAACUCUAUUAUAUAUAAUUCAACCUGAUACAUUCUAAUUCAAAAUCUAAUUCUAAAAGUUAAUUCAUUUUAACCAUACUUUCCAAAUUUGAAAGCUUAAGUGACUAAACCUUGGAUUAUAUUUAGGUGAUGUUCGACAGCAAGAAUUGAGAGGGGAGGAGAGGAAAGGAGAGGAAAAGAAGGAGAAUAGAGGAAAGGAGAGAACAAUGAUGCAGAAUCUAAUUUCCAUUAUUCGGAUUCUUACAGAAAUUUAGUGGAAUGGAAUUGCAAAUUUUUUGGUUGGACAAUUUCAACCUUUGACGUAAUAUUUAUUAUUAAAAUUUUACUAUUUAACUAAGUACAUUAUUUUUAAAUUUUCUUUUAAAUAAAAAAUUGUUUAAUAUAAAAAAAAUUAUAAGUCAAUUUUUUUUAUUUCUUUAAUUUGAAAUUUUAUUUUAAAAUAAGAAUUGAAAUAGCUUGCCGGCGAAGUCACUAGGUCCUUCGUCGUAACCACCGCUAACAGCUCCGGAACAUUUUCACAUGCGUGAAUUCACCAUUCUGAUCUAUUCAACUGGAGCACUAGUUUUGCCUUAUAAUUUGCCAAUUAAUCAGAAAGAAUAGUGUUUUGAUGAAUCCGAAAACUUUGAUCAGAAUUUUGAACAAUAUGUCACCGAUUUUUUAGCCCAAAAGGAGUGUCAGCACAUAGAUCGGCCAUGCGCGGAUCCAAUGGUGUCGGCGAUGAUGUUAGAUGCUUGCACGUCGGUGGCUGUCUACCAGCCUGGCUGCAGCAAGUGGCUGUACGGCAAGCUAAUUAAAUAAGACUUCCAAAAGGAGCAAAUUUAAAAGCUUUUUCUGGCUGUGGAGGAGUUUUGAUUCCUCACUCUUUCAAUUUAAUAGAAAUUAAAAUUGUAUGGAAAUUGCAUUCCAUAAUUUUAUUGCCAAUCAAACAAUUGAAAGGGAAAAUAAUUUCAAAUUCCUUUCAUUUCCCCAAUUCCUUUACCCAACUGAGUAUAAUCUUAGAGUAAUGAGAUGCUUAUAAAAUUUGGAUUCAAAUUCUUAAAGGCUGCUUGCUUUUUGUAAUUUUAAUUAUUUUCAAAA